rnacentral:rRNA from 1 species
GAUGAACGCUAGCUACAGGCUUAACACAUGCAAGUCGAGGGGUAACGAGAGGGAAGCUUGCUUUCCUUGUCGACGACCGGCGCACGGGUGAGUAACGCGUAUCCAACCUGCCCCCAACUAGGGAAUAACCUUGCGAAAGUAAGACUAAUACCCUAUAAUUACCUCAGAUGUCAUCUGACGAGGAAUAAAGAUUUAUCGGUUGUGGAUGGGGAUGCGUCUGAUUAGCUUGUUGGCGGGGUAACGGCCCACCAAGGCAACGAUCAGUAGGGGUUCUGAGGUGAAGGUCCCCCACAUUGGAACUGAGACACGGUCCAAACUCCUACGGGAGGCAGCAGUGAGGAAUAUUGGUCAAUGGGCGGAAGCCUGAACCAGCCAAGUAGCGUGCAGGAUGACGGCCCUAUGGGUUGUAAACUGCUUUUAUACAGGAAUAAAGUUAGCCACGUGUGGUUAUUUGUAGGUACUGUAUGAAUAAGGACCGGCUAAUUCCGUGCCAGCCGCCGCAGUAA